UACGUAGGGUGCGAGCGUUAAUCGGAAUUACUGGGCGUAAAGCGUGCGCAGGCGGUUAUUUAAGUCAGGUGUGAAAGCCCUGGGCUUAACCUAGGAAUUGCGCUUGAGACUGGAUAGCUUGGAGUGCGGCAGAGGGAGGUGGAAUUCCACGUGUAGCAGUGAAAUGCGUAGAGAUGUGGAGGAACACCGAUGGCGAAGGCAGCCUCCUGGGCCAGCACUGACACUGAGGCACGAAAGCGUGGGGAGCAAACAGG
rnacentral:rRNA from 1 species